GACGAACGCUGGCGGCGUGCUUAACACAUGCAAGUCGAACGGAAAGGCCCUGCUUGCAGGGUACUCGAGUGGCGAACGGGUGAGUAACACGUGGGUGAUCUGCCCUGCACUUCGGGAUAAGCCUGGGAAACUGGGUCUAAUACCGGAUAGGAGCCAUUUUUAGUGUGAUGGUUGGAAAGUUUUUUCGGUGUAGGAUGAGCUCGCGGCCUAUCAGCUUGUUGGUGGGGUAAUGGCCUACCAAGGCGGCGACGGGUAGCCGGCCUGAGAGGGUGGACGGCCACAUUGGGACUGAGAUACGGCCCAGACUCCUACGGGAGGCAGAAGUGGGGAAUAUUGCACAAUGGGCGCAAGCCUGAUGCAGCGACGCCGCGUGGGGGAUGACGGCCUUCGGGUUGGAAACUCCUUUCGCUAGGGACGAAGCUUUUUGUGACGGUACCUAGAUAAGAAGCACCGGCUAACUACGUG
rnacentral:rRNA from 1 species